UACUAAUCUCAAGUGGGUUGAUAAGGUUAAGCAAUCUAUUCAAGGAAAGACUAUUUCAUGGUUUUACCUGGAUGCAACGGGGAUGACUACGAUUAUGAGUCAAAUGUGUAGGGAGUCCAGUAACAGUUUUCUGGCCCUGUUCACAAACUGAUAGUAGCAGCAGCAGCCUUGUAACCCUUGUUCAACGUUCCAAGGUACUACUUCCAGACUUACUCUUGCAAUUCUUUCUUUUCGUUUCUCCCAAAUUUUUGCAGUCUUUGUCUCUCUCUAUCUAUAGGGUUUCAGUUUGCAAUUUUUUUUUCCCGAAAAUUUGAGGAAGAGAUGAUCAUUCCACCAUCGAGCUGUGAAAGAAACCUCUCUGGCUUAAACUCCAACGGGUUAGACCACAAUCGAGGAUCACGAUGCAGUUUCCAUAAGUUAACCAACAAGUGUGUGCCUGCUUUUACUUUAUACCCACCUAUAUUGCAGGCCUCGAUAUAGGUAUGAAGAGUGGGCCUGAAGGGUCCGAUGUCAUAGGAGGCUCCGAUGCUUUAUGAGUUUCUAAGAGCAUUAACUUAUGGUUGGAACUUGAAAUAGAGCCAACGUUGAGUUCAGUAUAUAUUUGCACCCGGAGCGUUUAUUUACCAUGAUGAAUGACCUCCCAACAAUAUUUGAAGUUGUUACUGGAGCUGUAAAGAAACAAGUAAAGGAGAAAUCUUCAAUUUCAAAUAACAGCAGCAACAAAUCCAAGCCCAUUUUAAAAAUGACAACCCCAGGAGUAUUUUACAUUGGACUGCCAAAAGCUGGACCCAAUUGCACCUGUAAAUCUUACAUGCUUCAGUGCUCGAAUUGAUUGGAUGUCAAGCCUUGGGAAUAAGAUUGGCAAGUCAGAUAUGGCAAAGCUUGAGGAUAUUGGGAGGAGUGUGCUUGUAUGAUAGUGCUUGUCUGAUUGUAUGAUAGAUAUAUAAUAUUUUUAGUCAUGUUCAAAGAAUCUAUCAUUUACAUUCUUUCGUUGCGCAACACACUUUCAUACAAGGUGAUUUGAAGUUAGCUAGGUAAUGCAAUUGGAGUGGCAGGUCUUGAAUGAAUGUAAAUGUGUUACA